rnacentral:rRNA from 1 species
GUAAGUUACUAAGAGCGCAUAGGGGAUGCCUUGGCUCUCAGAGGCGAUGAAGGACGUGAUAAGCUGCGAAAAGCGGCGGGUAGGUGCAAAUAACCGUUAAUCCGCCGAUCUCCGAAUGGGGCAACCCAAUACAUGUAACGAUGUAUUACCCUAAUAAUUAGGGGGCAAACCCGGGGAACUGAAACAUCUAAGUACCCGGAGGAAAAGAAAAUAAUCAUGAUUUCCUAAGUAGUGGCGAGCGAACGGGAAAGAGCCUAAACCGAAGAUGUUACGGCAUGUUCGGGGUUGUAGGACUGAGUCAUCAAAUAUACAUUACGAAGUGGAAUACUUUGGGAAGAGUAUCCGUAGAGGGUGAUAGGCCCGUACACGUAAGUAAUUCUAUUUGUAUCAGUAUCCUGAGUAGGGCGGGACCGGAGAAAUCCUGUCUGAAUCCGGCGGCACCAUCCGCCAAGGCUAAAUACUACUGAGAGACCGAUAGUGAACAAGUACUGUGAAGGAAAGGUGAAAAGCACUUCAAGUAGAAGGGUGAAAUAGAACCUGAAACUAUGCGUUUACAAGCGGUCGGAGCUUUCUAAAUUUAUUUAGAGAAGCGACGGCGUGCCUUUUGCAUAAUGAGCCUACGAGUUACUGAAUUUAGCGAGAUUAAAUACUUCAGGUAUGGAAUCGAAGCGAAAGCGAGUCUGAAUAGGGCGUUAAGUUAGAUUAAGUAGACGCGAAACUUAGUGAUCUACACAUGACCAGGUUGAAGUAACGCUAACCCGUUAUGGAGGACCGAACCAGUAGACGUUGAAAAGUUUUUGGAUGAGUUGUGUGUAGGGGUGAAAGGCUAAUCAAACUGAGAGAUAGCUCGUACUCUCCGAAAUGCCUUUAGGGGCAGCCUUGUAUAUAGGUAUAACAGAGGUAAAGCUACUGAUUGGAUGCGGGGGUUUCACCGCCUACCAAUUCCAGACAAACUCUGAAUGCUGUUAUAUUUUUACAGGAGUGAGGCUAUGGGUGCUAAGGUCCGUAGCCGAGAGGGAAAGAACCCAGACCAUCGGUUAAGGUCCCCAAAUGUAUGUUAAGUUGAACUAACGAUGUCAAAUUGCUUAGACAGCUAGGAUGUUGGCUUGGAAGCAGCCAUUCAUUUAAAGAGUGCGUAACAGCUCACUAGUCGAGUGAUUUGGCGUGGAUAAUAAUCGGGCAUUAAACAUACUACCGAAACUAUGGAAUAGCAAUAUUGGUAGGAGAGCAUUCUAAUGGCGAAGAAGGAAAGCUGUGAGGUUUUCUGGAGCGAUUAGAAGAGAAAAUGUAGGCAUAAGUAACGAUAAUGCGGGAGAGUAACCCGCACACCUAAAGACUAAGGUUUCCCGGUCAACGCUAAUCGGAUCGGGGUUAGUCGGGUCCUAAGGAUAACCCUGUAUAAUGGGGGAUUCCGAUGGCCAGCCGGUUAAUAUUCCGGCACUUAUUAUAGGAAGCGAAGUGAGGACACAGUGGUGAAAUGUACGCGUACGGACGGAAUCGUACGUUAAAGGGUGUAGAUAAAUUGUGUAUAGGCAAAUCCGUACACGAUGUCGAACCUGAUAGUACCGUAAUCCUUCGGGAGAGCGGAUAGUUACAGUAAACGUACUGUCAAGAAAAGUCGCUAAGCGUUUAUUCUAUAGUAACCCGUACCGCAAACCGACACAGGUAGUCGCGAAGAGAAUUCUAAGGUGCUCGAGUGAAUCAUGGCUAAGGAACUAGGCAAAAUUGUCCUGUAACUUCGGGAUAAAGGACCCCUUGAGAGAGGGCGCAGUGAAUCGGCCCGGACGACUGUUUAACAAAAACACAUGGCUUUGCGAAAUAGAGAUAUGAAGUAUAAGGCCUGACACCUGCCCGGUGCCGGAAGGUUAAGAGGAGAUGUCAUCGCAAGAGAAGCAUUGAAUUGAAGCCCCGGUAAACGGCGGCCGUAACUAUAACGGUCCUAAGGUAGCGAAAUUCCUUGUCGGGUAAGUUCCGACCUGCACGAAUGGUGUAACGAUCUGGGCGCUGUCUCAGCCAUGAGCUCGGUGAAAUUGUAGUAACGGUGAAGAUGCCGUUUACCCGCAACGGGACGGGAAGACCCCGUGAACCUUCACUACAGCUUAACAUUGAUUUUGGAUAUAUGAUGUGUAGGAUAGGUGGGAGGCUGCGAAGCAGGUACGCCAGUACUUGUGGAGCCGCCCUUGAAAUACCACCCUUUAUCUAUUUGAAAUCUAACUCGCUAUGAGCGAGGACCAUGUUUGGUGGGUAGUUUGACUGGGGUGGUCGCCUCCAAAAGCGUAACGGAGGCUUUCAAAGGUACCCUCAGCACGCUUGGUAACCGUGCGUUGAGUGCAAUAGCAGAAGGGUGCUUGACUGUGAGACAAACAAGUCGAGCAGGUAGGAAACUAGGAUAUAGUGAUCCGGUGGUUCCGUAUGGAAGGGCCAUCGCUCAAAGGAUAAAAGGUACUCCGGGGAUAACAGGCUGAUC